UACGGGAGGCAGCAGUGGGGAAUAUUGCACAAUGGGCGAAAGCCUGAUGCAGCUAUGCCGCGUGUAUGAAGAAGGCCUUAGGGUUGUAAAGUACUUUCAUCGGGGAGGAAAAAACAAAACUAAUAAUUUUAUUUCUUGACGUUACCCGAAAAAGAAGCACCGGCUAACUCCGUGCCAGCAGCCGCGGUAAUACGGAGGGUGCUAGCGUUAAUCAGAAUUACUGGGCGUAAAGAGCACGUAGGUGGUUUUUUUAAGUCAGAUGUGAAAUCCCUGGGCUUAACCUAGGAACUGCAUUUUGAAACUGAAAUACUAGAGUAUCGUAGAGGGAGGUAGAAUUCUAGGUGUAGCGGUGAAAUGCGUAGAUAUCUGGAGGAAUACCUGUGGCGAAAGCGGCCUCCUAAACGAAUACUGACACUGAGGUGCGAAAGCGUGGGGAGCAAACGAGGGAUUAGGACUACCCGU
rnacentral:rRNA from 1 species